rnacentral:rRNA from 1 species
GGGACACGUGGUAUCCUGUCUGAAUAUGGGGGGACCAUCCUCCAAGGCUAAAUACUCCUGACUGACCGAUAGUGAACCAGUACCGUGAGGGAAAGGCGAAAAGAACCCCGGCGAGGGGAGUGAAAAAGAACCUGAAACCGUGUACGUACAAGCAGUGGGAGCCUCUUUAUGGGGUGACUGCGUACCUUUUGUAUAAUGGGUCAGCGACUUAUAUUCUGUAGCAAGGUUAACCGUAUAGGGGAGCCGAAGGGAAACCGAGUCUUAACUGGGCGUUAAGUUGCAGGGUAUAGACCCGAAACCCGGUGAUCUAGCCAUGGGCAGGUUGAAGGUUGGGUAACACUAACUGGAGGACCGAACCGACUAAUGUUGAAAAAUUAGCGGAUGACCUGUGGCUGGGGGUGAAAGGCCAAUCAAACCGGGAGAUAGCUGGUUCUCCCCGAAAGCUAUUUAGGUAGCGCCUCGUGAAUUCAUCUUCGGGGGUAGAGCACUGUUUCGGCUAGGGGGCCAUCCCGGCUUACCAACCCGAUGCAAACUACGAAUACCGAAGAAUGUUAUCACGGGAGACACACGGCGGGUGCUAACGUCCGUCGUGAAGAGGGAAACAACCCAGACCGCCAGCUAAGGUCCCAAAGUCAUGGUUAAGUGGGAAACGAUGUGGGAAGGCACAGACAGCCAGGAUGUUGGCUUAGAAGCAGCCAUCAUUUAAAGAAAGCGUAAUAGCUCACUGGUCGAGUCGGCCUGCGCGGAAGAUGUAACGGGGCUAAACCAUGCACCGAAGCUGCGGCAGCGACACUAUGUGUUGUUGGGUAGGGGAGCGUUCUGUAAGCCGUUGAAGGUGUGCUGUGAGGCAUGCUGGAGGUAUCAGAAGUGCGAAUGCUGACAUAAGUAACGAUAAAGCGGGUGAAAAGCCCGCUCGCCGGAAGACCAAGGGUUCCUGUCCAACGUUAAUCGGGGCAGGGUGAGUCGACCCCUAAGGCGAGGCCGAAAGGCGUAGUCGAUGGGAAACAGGUUAAUAUUCCUGUACUUGGUGUUACUGCGAAGGGGGGACGGAGAAGGCUAUGUCAGCCGGGCGACGGUUGUCCCGGUUUAAGCAUGUAGGCGGAGGUUCCAGGUAAAUCCGGUACCUUUUAACGCUGAGGUGUGAUGACGAGGCACUACGGUGCUGAAGUGAUAAAUGCCCUGCUUCCAGGAAAAGCCUCUAAGCAUCAGGUAACACGAAAUCGUACCCCAAACCGACACAGGUGGUCAGGUAGAGAAUACCAAGGCGCUUGAGAGAACUCGGGUGAAGGAACUAGGCAAAAUGGUGCCGUAACUUCGGGAGAAGGCACGCUGAUGUGUAGGUGAAGCCCCUGCGGGCGGAGCUGAAAUCAGUCGAAGAUACCAGCUGGCUGCAACUGUUUAUUAAAAACACAGCACUGUGCAAACACGAAAGUGGACGUAUACGGUGUGACGCCUGCCCGGUGCCGGAAGGUUAAUUGAUGGGGUUAGCGGCAACGCGAAGCUCUUGAUCGAAGCCCCGGUAAACGGCGGCCGUAACUAUAACGGUCCUAAGGUAGCGAAAUUCCUUGUCGGGUAAGUUCCGACCUGCACGAAUGGCGUAAUGAUGGCCAGGCUGUCUCCACCCGAGACUCAGUGAAAUUGAACUCGCUGUGAAGAUGCAGUGUACCCGCGGCAAGACGGAAAGACCCCGUGAACCUUUACUAUAGCUUGACACUGAACACUGGUCCUUGAUGUGUAGGAUAGGUGGGAGGCUUUGAAGCGUGGACGCCAGUCUGCGUGGAGCCAACCUUGAAAUACCACCCUU